CAAGAGGUUGCGGGGCGAUGGUGGAAGGUUUAACGGGACCAAUUUCUGGAACAUUCGGGACUGCGGCACCCUACGGCCAAGACCGAGAUUUGGGUCUGCGCAGGCGACGAUGGGUGGUCCGACGGGCUUCAGGACUUGAUGGCGUAACCCCCUUCUUCCCCCACGUACGUAUCUGCUGGGAUCGGGGGCGAUGUCUCUGCGUAUGUGGGUGCUCUGUCUUUCUCACCUUCUUUCUCGCUUUUUUGCUAUUUUUUCUCUGAGAGAGGUUUUUUGUGUGUGUGUUUUUUUUUUUUUCCACUUUAAUUUUCUUUUCUUUUAGUGUCAGCUGCUCAAGCCUGACCGGGGUAGAGGCUAGAGGAGCAAGCUGUCCCCAGCGUCCCACCUGACCUACCAGCCUUUGCCCCCGUUUCCUUCUUUUGAACAGACAGACAGACUGGUUUUCCAGGUUGUUUGGGUAUCCGCGUCAGUCUGUCCAUCCACGUCGUUCUUAGGUGGCAGGUAGGAAGUGAGGAGGAGAGGUGCUGGGAGGAAGGUGGAGAGCCAUAGCUUUCCAGGGGUUGCCUUAUUGAAAUGUUCAGCCUCGGGGCAGCUGGGCUGGUGGGGAGCCGGUGGGCAGGAUGGGGCGUGGGUUGGGAGAAGUGGGGUAAAGCUGGUAGGUUUGUCACUGCGUAGUUGGGAAAAGUGGGGAAUGGUGACGCAGUCACUGUUGCAUCUUGUUAGGAGCUCCAAGGGGGACAGGUAGUGAGGCUCCCGGCAUCUGUAGGGCCAGCUGAGAGGGGUUAGGGAUGAGCUGAGAAGGGAAGCUAGCAUUUAGAGAUUAAAUGUCAUCCUUUUGGCGUUGGAAAGUUGUUUACCUUGCGCUCUCUGUGUCUCCAUGUUGGCACCCUUCCAGUUCACAUGUGAUGGCCUUCCUUGUACUGCUGCAUCAUUAACUAAGUGACUGAGCUGGCCUUCCAUUGGCCAGGGGAGGGCUCUCACUCCAGACAUUUCCUCUGAUUGGUGGGUGGGCCAAUGGCAGGUGAAAACCUUUUUUUGAUUGGCUGAGGGCAGGGUAUCAAAUCUGAAUUUGCAUUUCACUUGCUUAAAGGGGAGGGGGGGAGAAGCCCAGCAGCUUUCUAAAAUCUGUUUAGGGGUGUGCGUAUGCUCCUGUGUCUGUGCCUGCUUUUGACUGACCAGGUGAAGCCUCUUCCUAUGCCUUUUUUAUUUCAAGCACUCAGAGGAAGAGGAGCUCCGGGUUCCCCAAACUUUUUUUUUUUUUUUUUUGGAGUAGGAAGGGUUGGAGAGAUGGGUGCGCAGAGGGUUGACCAAACUGGAAGGAAGUAUUUGUCCUUUAGUUUGGUGUCGGAAAAGGGAAUUUUCCAAUCAGCCACACCUCGGUGUUGCGGCACAAUAAUUCUUGGCUCCCCUGGAAACGCACGGGGCAAGGUAGGACAGAUCUGCUGCUGCUGACACUGCCACCACCAUGGGCUUCCUGCUGCCUCUGGGCUGCUCCCUGGGGACGAGAGAUUUGCAUUGACGGGGCUGUCCAGAGCUGAGCCCAGUGUGGGAAAGACCUGCCUUCUGGAAGCUGCUGCUCCUUGGUCUUGGAAAGGUGCCACGUCAGGCUGUUCCAUGGACCUUCUUUCAUUUACUGCUUUCCACAACCCUCCGAGGAGAGUCCCGUGACUGGUAAGUGUUCUGAUCAUGAUUAGAACCCCUGUUUCCCCAAACCUUUGCCUCCUUCUUUACCUCUCAGUUCUCAGUGUCUGCCACGUGGCUCUUACAAGGUAGAUCCCCAGAAUGUGUCUGUUUAAGGAAUUUCAUACACCUCUAAUGCCAUAUGGGAGUUUGGGUGGCCGCUCUUCCUGCGCCCGAGGUCUGGGUCUCGUAGCUGUUCCACGCUCCCCUGGACCCUGCUACCUCGUUAACUUUCUCCUCUUCCUUUGCGGUCAGGUUCACUCAAGAUGAUGGCUUUUUUUUCUUUCUUUUUUUUUUUUUUUUUUUUUUUGUAGCUGAAAUUUUGUUGGAUUAACAAACCUCAGUUAUCCUACUUACCUUCCUCCUGGAAGAGAAGGUGGAGGUGGGAUGGUUGUAGUACCUUCGGAGCAGAGUGAGCUCCAGAACCCAGGAUCAGUGGAGAUCGGACAAGGCAGGGAGCAGGACCAUUGCACUUGGAUCUUGACCCUGCCUCAUCUUGUUAGGUGGUUUUUCUGAGGCUUAGUGACCUCAGUCAGUGACAUGGAGCCACUGUAAUCUACAGUGAAAUGCCUAAUAUAUUGCCAAGCCAACAGGCUCCCGACAGAAAGUGGUGCACCUCCCUUUCCCCUGCCCAGCUGUUUUAUCGGGGACUUAAGAAGAGUACAUAGCAGGUGGCUGGAGAAGGAAUGGGGGGAAAGGAGCUUGCCUGCCUUCAGUGAUACCAGAGGCAGGGGAGGAGGUGACCGGGCAUUGCACACCUGAAGCCUGCGAGGAAGUGCUUUUCCCUGACCUGGAGUAAAGACCCCCUUAACUUCUGCAUCGGGAAAACGCUGUGGGAGCAGAGCCGUGAGGUCAGGGUGGGUGGUGGCAGCGUGAGGGUUAACCAGUGAUCCUUCCUGGGAGCCUCGUGACGCCAGGUUAGCUUCCCCUCUUUCCGAAUCGAAUCGCAGCAGUGGCUGCCUGCUUCCUGACGCUGCUGCAUCCCGUGGGAGGGGAGUUGGGCACCCUGAAGCCCCUCGUCACCGAUUCCGGGGCUGCAGAGCAGAGAGUGACGACAGCCCAUGAGUCGUCAGCCGACGGCAAUGGGGACCCUGGUGACGGCUGCUUUGUUGUGUUUUUCCUCUUUGGAUGAUGACUCAGUGUGUCGGGAGCUGGGAGAUGGGGCACUCAGCCGAAUGGCCAGGACGUUCUGUCAACAUGAAAGCAGCAAAAACAGCUUAUCGGGGCUCAGAGCCGACCCUUAGGCUGGGUUCAUUUUCAGGAAGGGCUUGGCAGAGGAGAGCACUUCUGGACAUCGGGGGUGGGGAGACAAGGCCAGGUAACCCAACAGGGGUCUGUGGACCCUUCAGUUUCAGAAACCAAAAAGAAAAUGCAGCUGCUUGUGUUAUUAGAUAAGCUUGGCAAACGGUCAUUUUACAAGCUCCUCUCACCCGUCCCAAACAAGAGACAUCUUCUCAGGGCCAGAAAACCCUCCGGGAUUUCUCACCAUGGCUCAUUGUCAUAGAUGGAGGGUGAGCCCGUCUCGGGUAGGGUGGGCCUGGGAGUCCUUAGUGAUCACUGGCAUUCCGGGGCCCCGGAAGCAAGAGCCCAUGGUGGGGACGUGGCGUCUCAGGUGACCUCUGCUGGCAUCACACCAGCAGACGGUGUCACCCACCAGAAGAUGGUGGGUCCACGUCACCGGCCUCAAGCCGAAGGCCAGCUCUGGCACAGCCUACUUCAGCCUCCCCUUUCCUUAUUGUCCCGAGUCAAACUUACCUUCUCCCCUUUCAUCGUCCUCAAUUCCUUCUUAGGUGAAAUAGUGGGCCUUGAGUCCUUGACCUUUGUGUGUGUGUGUGUGUGCGUCAUCAUGGCGGCUCAGGGUUCUAGACUUUUCUUGAAUCUGCAGCAUUGCGCUAAGGGCGCGUGACAUUCCCCCCCGCCCCGCCCGCCCGGCCCCGCCCAACCAUGGCCAGCCAUGCCUUCUUGGGAGCAAGAGAGGCCUGGGCCUCCAUUGCCACUGAAUCUCAGGCAAACCACUAUCCUCAGCAUCUGGCUUCCCUUCUCUCCUCUGUCUCCCUCGGCCCUGUCUGGGGACAGAGGAGCAAAUAACUUGUGGGUGGGGAAUUGAGGACGGCCUGGCCCGGGACCACCCUGCCUAUGUACCCCUUAGGCCAUUUUUCAGUCUCCUGCUUUCCCAUAGAUGAUGCUUAGCACUGACAUUUGUCGCCGAGCACCUCCUCCGCUCCCCAAGGACCUCCCAGUGUGACUCAUUUGGGAUCUCUGCAAGGAGUGGCUUUGGGGCCUUGGGAGCCAGAGGGAGCAGGAAGACCUGGUGGAGGUCACAGUGGAGAGGUACGCAGGGCAAAGGACGAGAGCCGGCUGUCCCUGGCCCAGAAUGCAAAGGCAGCCCCAGCCCCUUUGUGUCAUGUCAUUUUGAGCCUGAAUAGAGAGCAACUUGACCUAAAAAAAAAUCGUAUAUAUGUGGAUGUUAGAUCCUUUGUGUCUCUUUGUCCAGAAGCUGCGCAUAUGACGAGGGCUCAGAUUCUGUACUUCAGAGAGCUCUGCUGUCCCUCAGGUUUGUUUUCCGAAGGAGGUGGUAGUUCCUCUUUGAUGAGACCCUGUGCCCACGGGGACUGGACUUUUCUCCAGGACAAGGGGCACAGCCUUGUCUUGUUGCUAUCAUUGGAUAGUGAGCAGCAGCUGAAGACCAUGGUCCCGGGGCCACAUAUUAGCCCCAGAUGGAACCCUGAUUGGGGCUUGCAGAAUUCAUUGCUUGGCUGGCUGGCCCCAAGAGCUGAGCCUACCUGGCUUCCUUUCACUUCUUCCCCACAGAGAACUCAGAGGAGUUGAGCUCCAUGAGUCGGUGACGGCCUCUUGGAGACUCAGGCUAAGCUGGGGACAGAGCUGGUGUGCAGAAGACAGCCAUCAUACCGCCUAAUAGAAUGGCCCGUUUGCAUUUAUUUGGAACAAAAAAAGGAGAUGCCUGGCGGCCUGGCUUUCUGCAGCUAAGUAUUCGUCUGCAUUCUGGUUUUCCGUCACACAUCGGAAGCGAUAGAUGUUCAUUGAACCCACCCAGCUGCCGUGACUUCUCCUUUCCCCGCGCACCCCUGCCCCUGAUCCUCCAGCAGAGAUUGGAUUUUCUGGUGCGGCUGGAGAGCUGCAGAGAGGCUAGAUCCCAGUGUCCAGCCCCCGCACGUCGCCCUCACAUUCAGGAGAAGUCGAUUUUCCCUAAAGCGGAGCCUAAAGCCCAUGUCCCUCAGUGCGGUGUUAUUAAUGGGCCGACGGGAAGGGCCCUGCUUGCCCUCACUGCCCCCAGCGGGGAGGUGAGGCUCUCGGCUGGCUGGCUGGGGGAGGACGGUCCUUGCCAGCAUCUAGCAUGGUUCUCUGCCAAGUUCUAGCUCCAAAUCUCUAGGCCGCUAGGAACCUAGACUAUAUAUAGCAUUGUGCUAAGCAAUUCUUAUCGGACAUGUCUGCCCUCCCCUGCGGGAGAGGAGCCCUUCUCCCAGGGAACCGGAACCUAGAGAGUGUGAGCCUUCUCCAAGGGGUCUUUCGUUCCAGGAAGGGCUGUGUGUGUGUGUGCGUGUGUGUGUGUGUGUGUGUGUGUGUGUGUGUGCACGCGCGCGCGGCUGUGUCUGCUUCAGGGCUGCCAAGCUUUCUUCCCUUUUCCCUGUUUCAGAUGCUGCGAGAUCGGAAGGUCUGAUUGGGAUGAGGGCCAGGAGGUUCUUGAUGGUGUGCGAUGUGGCCUAUGGCGCCCACCAGCCUCCCGCAUGUCUUCUUGGUUUCCUGUUUGCCUUCUUUGCCCAAGGAGGUCUUCUGACCUCUUGAGCUUCUUUUGGAUCUCCUGUCUUCCCUGCCCUCCUCUACCUCUUCCUCCUCCUUCCUUUGAUUCUCUUUCGGGUGUGUGACGGCAGACUGGGCUACGGGCAUCCGGGAGCUGUGUCUGCUCGCUGCCCUCACCACCGCCCCCUCCCCCCCCCCCACCACCAGUUUGGGGUUUCUGGAAAUCUGGCUUUAGUCAGCCGUCCUCUGGAGGAAUUGGGUGGUGACUGAGCGUUUCGUGCUGGGUGGUACGGGGCAGAGCAGGCUGGAUAUUUGCCUCCUCCCUCCCAUAGGUGCUGUCGAGCCACCGAUUUUCUGUGGUUCCGCGACCCCGAGUGCUGACUGAUGUGACAGGUUCCGGUCUUGUCAGUGAAUCGUCGCCAAGCUGCUUAUUGGAACCCAGAUGCAACAAGAAAAUGGGAUUUAACCCCUUCCCAGCCUCUCAGGUAAGUCAGGUGUGGGCUGACGCUUCCGGCCCCACCCCCCCACCUCCCAGCCCCCUUCCCUUCUCAUGGAGACCGUUUUCCUUAGUCAGUGGGGAAUCCUCAAACGUCUCCAUUCACAAUCUCCCAAACAAUGCUCUCUUCUUUCCAUUCUCCUACUCCUGGCUUUUCUGUGAAUGGGGUUAGUAACCAGCAAGGACUUGGGGGAAGGGCCAGCCACAGUGAUCCGGCUGCCGGGAUGUGGGAGAUGGCAGGGACGCGUUUCUGGGUGUGGCAGUCAGCAGAGCAGUUGGGCCUCCCACAGUGACUGGCCGGGAACUCUCCUUGGCCCCCAACAUCCAGCAUGAGAUUCUGGGUUUGAGCCCGGUUGGGGGCAGGGAGUCUGCCUGGGACUUGGGUGUGCCCUUGCUUGUGUAUCCCAGUGGAUGUUCACUCUGACUCUGGACACCUUGGGGCUUGCGUCUGCAGCCGUAGCCUGGAGCUUAGACUAUGGGCUGGGCAGUAGACUUCAGGGCUCUUUCUCCACUUGCGUGUGUCAUGGGGCUUGUUUUGGGGUUUUUUUUGUUUUUUGUUUUGAGUAAAUCACUCUCUUCUUCUAGGCCCUCAUUGCCUUCACCUUAAAAAAAAAAAAAAAAAAAAAAUUUCCUGGCCUGGUAAACCAUUGCAAAGCAUCUCCAGGCUGUUGACGUACAAGUGUUUUUUCUCUGCCUCACUUGAUGCUGGUCACAGUAAUAGCAACGGUGAUUAAAAAUGAUGUUGGGACUGCAGAACUGGGGAGGCCUGUCGCAUUCUAGAGACAGUUCAGAAAGCAGACCGUAGUCGCUUGCCACGCUGCCUACCAGGAAAUCUCCUAUUGAAUGCAUUCCUGCAAUGUUCUGGGCGAGCAGGGUCAGGUUGGAAUUAGCCGACAGCGGAUUUGUCUGGGGUCUCAAGAUAAAAGGGAUGGUCCCCGGUAAUUGUACCGUACACUUGGCUGAUAUCUGGAGGCACCUGUGGGAUCCCACCUCUGCUCUCCCCACCCCCUUCCCACCGCGGGCCAGGAAGGACCGGUGAAUUCUGCCCAUCAGUGUUUUAUCUUCUCUCCUCCCCAUCUGACCGGAGGCUGAGCUGGCUGUGAGCAGCCUGAGGUCCUCCCCGAGUGAGGAAUCCGAGGCUGUUGGGAAGAGACACCCGACUCUUCUCUUCCCUGAAGGAAUUUGACAAGUCUCAGCCCCUCCAGCAGUAACGUGGGGAGGGAUGGCUGGGGGUGUUGGACCUGGAACACGAAUAAAGAGGAGAGAUCAGCUUUGGUGCAGCUGGGGAGACGAGGAGGAGCCGGCCAAGUCCCUCAAGAUGUGUCGGCUAGAGUCUGGCCAGUGCAGGCUGCCGGGCCGGAGCCAGAUGGAGCCGCUGGCCACGCUCAGGAGCCUCUGCCCCCAUAUGGUGUGGUGUGGUCCUGGGCCUGGCUCAGGGUGGCCGCUGCUCCCAUUCACAGCUCUGCCCUGCCCUUGGCUGGACUGGGAAGAUCAGAGUGGGAAGCGGAGGGAAAGUUGAUUUUGCUCCUUGUGACGCAGUUGUCUGCGGGGCCUCUGGCGUUUCCAGACUUGGGGUGGGUGCUUCCCCGUUGAUUUUCCUCAUUUUGUUCGUCAUCUGCUUCCUUGCUCCCUGCUUACCGGGCUGGCUUCUGCAGCCAUGACACGGGCAUUACGUGUCCCCAGCCAAGCUAGCACCACGGUUGGCGUCCCCUGAGAGGGGGACCGGGCAUAUCUGGCACUCGGUUCUCAACCUUUGAACCCCUGUGCUCUGGGAGCCAGGAGGCAGAGUGGGGCCUCUCCACCCGGGGUCCAGCAGAGGUUAACAGGGCUGGUGGUGCCGGAGCUGCGGUGGUGUGGCCUGGCCAGGAGGCGCUGGGGAGGGGCCCCGCCGGGGGACCUGAUUGGUCAGCACCUUCUCUGUUCCACUGAAUCCUGAGCCGGUCGGGGCCGUGAAUUGUUUAAUGCAUAUCUUGGCUCUGUCCCCUGGCACGAGGGCCUCCGAGGCUGCAGCCACAGCUUUAGCGAGGAUGUGUACCUCGUGCUGGUCACUGUUUUGGGCACGUUGCCUCCCUGUGAGAUAUGAAAGAGAUACUGCCCUUUCCACUAGCAGGCUGUCUGUGGGAGGCCCUCCUUUUGCGUUGCUUUUCUGGGCCUUGGAGUGUCUGUGAAGAAGGCCUGGGCUGGGUUUGAUUCCUUGCCGGCUCCUUUCACAGGAGGCUGCUCGUGAGCUGGUGAAGCCAGAGAAAACCUCCAGGCCCCAAGGCCCGUGCACAGCCUGAUGCGAUAGUGUCGGGCCUGGGCAGGAAGGAGCAGGGGCACGGGGAUGGAGCGAGGCACGUGGGGACGAGGUCGCGCAUCGUCUGACCACAGGAUCAGGGCAGCGGGGGUGGGGUGGGAGGAUGCGUCCGGCGUUCAACCAGCGGUGCCCGCUGCAGCCUGGAAUGGGCCCGUGUGUGCGUGGAGCCCGGGUCAGGGUCUGUCAUGAGGCGUGAGGCUAUGAGAUGGGCAUCGGGACUCUUGGUCCCGGCAGAGGGUCCCAGGAAAGGGAAACUGACUUUCGCUAAGCGUCUGUCUUUGCUGGUCUGAUUUCAUCCUCAGAGCAACCGCAUGAAGUAGGUAUUACUUCCCUUCAACAGAUAAGGAAGCCGUGCGUAGUAAUUCACUGAACCAAGGUCACAUACUUGGCAAGUGGGAUUGUUGAGCUUUAAACCCCGGCACUUUGGAUUCCAAAGCCUGUGCUUUUUCUUCACCCUCUUGGGUGGAAGUCAGACAUCUUUGGGAGCUAAGACCAUCAGAGAUCAGGCAGCAGGGAGAUCUGACGGAAACCGGUGUGAAAGGCCAGGUGCCUAGGGGGACGUGGCAGCCACUGGCCAUAGCCAUGCCAUAUCCCUUUCGGGGGGAGGGGGGCAAGGCAGAGACAGCUAGUUUCUGGUGUCCCUGAACAGGCAGGGCUGAGCAUGGCAGAUACACCCACGCCACAAGUGUGCGCCCAGUCUCUGCUUCGUGGCGGGGCAUGUGCUAGGAGCUGGGGACGCAGAACUCUACAAAACCAAGUUUCUGCUCUCCUGGGAUGUACUUUCUGGUGUAGGGAGAGGUCGUUCACGAUAAUAAAAAAGGAAUUAGGAACUAUAUAAAGUAUGCAGAUACACAAAGGGGGACACCCACCCAUAAGAAGCAGCGAUCCCAAUGUUGGUCGGGGAGGGAAUUUGAGAGACUGAAGGAUCUCGACCACCUGGGGAAGCCAUAUUGAUGGAGCCCCCAGAGUUCAAGUUGAUAGAGUUGCUAAUGCCUCUCUUUUCCUAAGAGCUGGAAAAACCCCCCAAGGUCCCCAAAGCUUACAAGAACGUGCAGUGAGUCAGGGAUCAAGGUGGCAGUAGACGUCAAGCCGUUGGUCACCGGCAAAGGAAGGUUUUUCCGUUAGCCAUGGCUGCUCUUGGCCUAACGUCUCCCCCCCUCACCAGGUGGCAGCUGGCGCCUCUCUGCCUCGUCACGGUGCCCCUCUCUCGUCCACACCGACAGGGGAGCGCUCGGGUUAAGUCUUCGCCAAGUCACCAGUAAAAUAUGUGCCUGCAGGAGACAGAACUCAGCUCAGGCUCUCCUGGCAGAACCCGCGGUUCCAAGAUUAUCGCGAUAGGGACGGGUCAGGGGGCGGGAGAAGGAGGAGAAGUCACCUUGUGCCAGAUGCUUGGACAAGUUUUGUGUCCAAAAGAGGUUGAGGCAAGUUGGUGGCUGGAGAUGGGGGAGGGGAUGUCUCCAGCGUGUGCGGCUCCAGGGCUCAGGAGUUGUUUACAGGGUAGAAGCUUAUGGUGAGUCAGGCCACGUGAUUCUUCCCUCCCUGGCCCCGUGGUCGAAGUCUGCCCCACUUGAACCUCGGAGACUGCCACCUGCUGCCAGGGGGCAGAUGUUGCACGAAGGUGCCGUGUGGGUCUUGGGGUGUGGUUGUGGGAACUCCGGGAAAGGGGGCGUUCUGUGGCGUGGUAUAGAAGUCUCCACAGUCCCGUGUUCUGGCCCAGGAUCCCGUGGUAAAAUCUUACUCACUUUACCCUUUUGGGACUCACUUUCAUUAUUUCUAAGAUGAGGGGGCUGAACCAGAAUCUUUUGGGAGGUGCCUGCCGACUCUGACAUGGGGGCUACCUGGGUGUUCUCGGAGGUGUUUCUUAGGCAGAAACUCAGGUCGGGAACAAGCAGGCCUGACUUACAGGAGAGGGGAGGGGCCUUGAAGGAUCUGAGAACAGCUACAGUCCUGUUUUCUGCAGGGAUGCUGUCACCAUCAAUUAGGGCAGGUGGGUGGAGACAGUUUUCCAGGAACUCUUCAGGAGCGAGCGGGAAGGGGCCGGAGAUUGCGUGAAGGUGUCUCAGGAAGGUCACCCAAGUGACAGGGGUUGUGACCUCUGGCUCCCACCAAGGGGCCUGUCUGGAGCUGGGCAGUGUGGGAGCCGCUGGGGUCUUUGCUGUGCCACAGGGGCUGACCUGAGAUGCCACCGUGCUCUAGGGAAGACGCUCUGUCCUUUGUGGCCCUGAAUCCUCGAGGGAACACGGGACUACCGGUCCCGUGUCCUGGGCCUUCCCUGAGACGUCUGUUCAGGGUCUGUGCCCCUUGCUGUCAGGAAGUCUUCCUUUAUAUUUAGCCAUUUUUUUCUCAUGUGGUUGUUUAAGCCCUUCUAUUUAAAAAAAAAAAAAAAAAAAAAAAAAAAAAAAAAAGACAAGAGAAAAAAAACAAAAAACAAAAACAAAAAUAUCUCUGAGCCACUUGGUUCCAUUUUAGCUUUUCAAUCUUGAGUCACUGUUUUAAAGGUAGCAAAAGUAAAACACAUGCAGGGAAGCUCAAGGCCCCAGACCCUCGUGGGCUGUUGUGAAAGGCCAGCCCGGGGACAUGGCGGCCUCUGUCCCCGACGUCCCCCGCUUCUCCAAGGCUGCGUGGGUAGGAGCCCCUGGGGCUGCGGGCACAUGCUGCGCGGGCCGCAGAAUGGAAUGCAGGGUUUUUCAAAUUAGCAAUAUGCCUUCAAGACACGAUCCGUGUGCUGCUUUACUGGACACUUACGCUGGGACUUGUAGCUGUGAGCCCGCCCCCUUCCCCACCAGGGUGGGGUGGCAAACAGGGAUUUGGGCCAGGAUUCAGGCAGGAGCCGAACUGAUCCGUGACCGACGUCUUAUGCGCACCGUGUGUUGUUUUUGCAGCUCUUUUCAGAUUCGCUGGCUCGCUUGGUCCUCACGCAGCCCUGUGAGGGUCGGCGGUGGGAUCCCCGUGGGUGUUCAAGCUCAGCCUCAGACAGCCCUGCUGAGGUCCGGUUUCUUGUACCUGCUUAAUUUGGGUCACCGCACACCCCCACCCCCCCCCACCCCCGCCCCCAGGCCCUCCGACUCCAGAUGUCAUUUCCUUGGUUUCAGUUGUGCUCUUUAGCUGAGCAGGGGGGCAGGGCAGGGAUGGGGAGUGCAUCUUGGGUAGCCAACUUGAUCUCUGUAGGUUGCAGGUUUCUUUUCUACGCAUCGAAUGGGGAAGGGAGCCUCCGCCCAGGUUCUCCUGUUCUUGGAUUGUUUCAACUUCUCUUACGAGGAGUUCUUAUGAAACCUGGCUUGCCCUCUUUGACCAGGAAGCCAGCCAUUCACCAUGUGUCUCUGGUGAGACUCCCUACGUUUGGAAGCUUCUGGAAUAUACGGCGCUUUAGACCGUUGCGACACAUCUGUCGGGCACUUCAGGCAUGUGCAUGUAGCCCUGUUUCUGCCAAGUGGCUCACUUAGAAAUGAAGCCCCAUUGUGGGGCAUUUUUUUUCCAGUAGAUUUAUAAGGUAUGCCCAGAGCUUUCUGCCCAGCGUGUGCAUCGUGUAUACGUUAUCUGUUUGCUGGCUAAUGAACGUACAGCACCUGCUGGAAGGAUUGGCCAAUGUAUACUAUAAGCUGGUGGAACCAGUGGCUUCAGCUCUGAACGUUGCUUUCUGAUAGAGUUGAAAAAGUAGGCCUUACCCACAGAGGGGAAGGUGGAUCAGAGAACGCCUGGGCAUCAGUGUUCCCUGGAUACUGGGCGUAAGCCCACUCUUUAUGAGGAGGGUCGAGGCACAGCCUGGACUGUGCCUUCUGGGCCGCGUGGCCCUCUGAGUGGCCUUUAUUCAGAGAGACCCAGAGCGAGCCUGUAUGAAGGGAGAGAGAAGUGCUUGUCUUUGUUUAUGGCACCCUUCACUCGUGAUGGUUUGGGCUCACCUCGGGCACGUUUCUUGAAGGAUCGGGGUCGGACAGCGUGGCAGCACGCAUAUGUCUGUCCGUUCGUGUUCCCCGGAUGCAGGCUUGGCUCCUAGAGAAGCCCUGCCAUGGGGAAUCCAUAGAAGAAUUGUUUUGCUGGAGCGAAGGCUUUUGAUAACUUUUGUGUGAAGAUGUGUCACACCACACCCAGAUCUUUCUGUUCUCCUGGAGGAUGGGAAGGAGGAUGGCAGGACCUGUAGCUGGGAGGCGAUCUAGGCCAGCCUUCAGGGAGGGCUGUGGCGGCCUCUUCGCUGAGGGCUCCCAAAGAGACACAGAGCUUCUUUAUCUCAGAAGAGGGACUGGAUGUCCCUGUCGAGGUCCCUCGGGUCCUGAGCGUGUGGGACUGUGAGGCUCUCCCUGGAACAGCGUGAACUUCGGGUACCGGGACCCAGAGCAGGUUGCACAUCUUUUCUUUCUGCCGUGGAGGCAAGCCUAACCUUGGUGGGCCCCACGAGCAUCGGGCCUGGAGCUCUAACCUUGUUCCCUCGUGCAGAGAGAAUUCCCAGAACUGACCCGAACAGCAUUGAUAUUAUUUGCAAAUAAAAAAAGGAGAAAGCCAUGUUGUCCCUCAUCGCUGCCAGGAAAGAGCCCUGAGUGGCUCUAAUCCUGUCUUUGUACCACUGCCACUCCCCACCCUUGCUGACCACCCCCCCCCCCCCAGCCUAGGGCCCUUUGAUAGGCACUAGAGAUGUGAAUGAGUUUGGUGGGAAGGCCAAGGGCAGGGACAGACAUGGUUUGCUGGGAAGAAGGUAGGACAAGGAAAAGGAGUAUCUCAGGGCAGGCCCACGGGCACACAUGUGUAUUCAGAUGGACAUACUAUUUACUGGUAACGCCAGAGUCUGACAUGAACCAGUUAAUGCCUAAAUGAGGGUUGAUUUCGUGUGGAGAAUCAUACAUCAUUUUGUGUUUAAGUCUGCAGCUUUAGCAUCAAAAGGCCUGACAGGCUGGGGACCUUUCGCUGGGCCCUCCUGUCUGUAAGAUCAUGCUCAUUUUAUAUUGAUUUUCUGUCUCCUUUCUUUCCUGUUUUCCACUCCCAUGCAUUCCUUAGGCGUACGUGAAUAUUUGUCCACGCAUUCGUGUUACGACUUCCUUGGGGUGCUGUUCUUUCCAGUGUCUCCGACAUCAUUGAAUGUAUUGCUUUUAUUUAAAAUGUGAACAGGCCAGAGGCUCACUGCAGAGGGGAGCCAUCCUUGCACUGCCCACAGAAUCCUCUUCUCUACCUUGUUCUGGAGUAGGGCAUGUGGAGCCCUGAGGAGACGGGAAUCAAGGGUGUCUGUGGGAACCAGCCAGACCCCGUGCCAUGCCCCCUGUUUGGGAAGGGGUUGCUCAGGCAUGAAUCCCCCACCCCUAACAUUAUUAGCAGUUUCUUCUUUUUAGCUUGAACCCUGAGUAGUGGCUUUGAAAGUCCAAGAACACCUGUCACCCUGCUUAGGUGAGGGCGACAGAGAGGGACGGGGACAGACGGGAAGGGGACAGACGCUCCUGGCCACGGGCCUCUCUCCAAGACAGGUGAACUCUGUGUUCCAAAAGGAACUCAUUUAAUCUUUUGGCCCCAAUGGAAGUUGUUUGUAUUUUCUCUCCCUCUGUCUUCUCCCUCCUCUCUCUCUCCCUCAACACCCCCGCCUCCACCCUCCAGCCUCCAAAAGAAUUUAAUCUGCUGGACAACAAACAAUACUGUUAUAAAACUUUGAAAACAAGAGGGUGAGGCCUCCCUGACAAGGAGAAGGGCAUGCCGGGUAACGGCCGAGGGAGCCUGCCAGGCCCGGGACGGAGCCGGGCGAGGGCCCAGUUGGCCGGGUACCUGGGCGCCUGCCCCCACCCAGCCCACCAGCCCAGCCAUCCCCAGUCCAGAGGGGAAGGAACCGAAACAAAAGCAGGGGCAGAGAAGCGCCUGGAAAGGGGAAGUUGUACGUGUUCCCCUCUCUCUGAUCUGAUGCGAGUGCGCCAGACUGUGAAACUUCCUCCCCCACCCCUCCCCCGCCAGCCUCCCUCCCUCCUCAUCCUGCCUCCUCCUGCCUCCUCCCACCACUCUCUGUUCCAGGCCCGAGGCCCGAUAACAGAACAGGGCUGGCCUAGGUACAGCCACCGGCCAGCCGGCCGGCUGCAGGGGAAGCAGGCAAGGAAGGUGUUCCAAGUUGGCUUUGGACUCUGGACAUACCCUCUGCGUCCCUUUCCUGCCCCCAGCUAGAGAUGUGGAGCCACGGUGCGAGGUGUGCCCCAGUCCACGUGCCCCACCAGGGGUGUGCCCAGCUACCGGGAGAACCUCCGCUUGGAGGUUAGUGGGUCUGUCCCACUACCCGGUGUCUGCUGGAGGCCAUGCUCCCAGGAGGCCGUCAGACUCGUACAGGUGGCCUGCUCUCCCUCCAGAGGGAGCCGGGCUGAGCUAUGGAGCCCUGGAGCCUCCAGAGGGGCUCAGGGGACAGAGACUUGCUCCCCGCAGCAAGCAGGCACAGGGUCCUGGCAGCGGGUGCCUGGUGGGGUACCGUGUCUGCUGCUCGGGGUGACCCAGCUCUGCCUGGGGAGCAGGCAAGCUGGGCGCUGGGGCAUCGCCCCCCAGCCUUCUGAGUGGAUUUCACCUGAGACCGAAGUUUCGCUGCCACGCCCACCUGCACUGCGUGGAGCACAUGAUUUGGGACGGGAGAGUGAGAAGCAGCGGUGGUCUGCCUUUGGCCUGAGGUUGUUUGGACCCGUGAACCGUGUGGUGGGCAUUGUGUUUGUGUAAUGGACUGUAGGCGUGCUCGCUUUCCUCUCGUGGGAAGCAGUUCAGGGCAGUGCCCGUCCUCCUGCUCUGCCUGAGCGAAGCCUCUCUCUGGGGAAGUGUGGGGGCCCCCCCCCUUCAUUCCAUCGCUCCUCCUUCUCUGCGCUCCCCACUGUCCCCUGCUGCCCCCCCCACGCCCCACGGCACCCCAAGGCAUCCCAUCCUCCCAGCCAGCCGACCAGCCAUCCCGAGCCUGGGCCUGUACUGAAUCUGGAGGAUUUCCAGAUGCGGGUCUUCUCUGGUGUUGAGGCAGGGACAGAGAACCGAACCGGGUGGAAAGCAGCUGCCUGGGAACUCAGGCCGCGGUACCCCGGCCCUAGGGAAAACCGGCAUUGCUGAUGUGGGGCCCAUGUGACAUGAGAAGGCUGUGACCUCCUGCCCUGUUACCUCCACAGACAUUUGAGGGGCUCAGUGGGUCUAGAGCAUGUUAUUCUCACUUCGGGAUGCCGGGUCUGGGACAUGUAGGGAUCCCUGGAUGCCCCACCCUCCUUUUGGGGGCCAAGCUGCCAGGAAAAGAGCCAGCUCCAUGUUUCCUGCCUCCCUCACCCUCCAUUCCCUCCUCCCUUGCCCCCCGUGCACAUACCCAUACACAUUUUAUCACCCUUUCCUCUGAUUCAUUAACCACGGCUAGUUGGCAACAGGCCCCCACCCUGACAGCUCAAGACAAAAUGUCCAGGACACUGGGUCUGGCCUGGAGCUGAGUGACAGGAAGCUGGGCCGGGCCUCUCGGCUCACGCAUACAAUGGGCAAGGACCGUGUGGAGUGCAGAACCUUCCUCAUUUUCAAAAGGGUCUUCCCCAGGCCCCUCUCUCUCACCAAGAUGACUCUUCUUCGAUGCCAGGAGCCUGGAAACCAGCAUCCCGGGUAGCAGGAAGACCUGAUCUGGGCUCUGCUUCCGGCACCCCUCCCCCGCGCCGGCUGGAGCUUGCGUCAGUCGUGUAAGUAGCCGUGACUCAGCACCCAGCCUGGUCGGGAGGGAGGCAGAAGACGCCUCCCAGGAACCUUCCCAGCAUUCUGGAUUUGAACACAUGGUGGUGGCUGAACACACUGAACGAGCUGGCGGCCUUCGGUUCCUGGGGGUGCGUGUCUGUCCGUUCCGCGGGUUUGCUUAUAGGUCUCAUAAACCGGGGUUCCUCUCCUUCCCGUUUUCAUCCCGUGUUAUUUUUUGGACCCCAUGCCUGGCAUAGGAUUUUUAGGACUUUAAAAGGCACAGACGGCAUCAUUUCUAGAACGCAGCAGAAGCUCUCUUUGCAGUCUCCAGACUGCCCUUUAAACCGAUGGCCCAUGAAUCAUCUUUAACCCUCAGAUGUUUUUGUUUGACUUACAGAGUUUUCGUUGUUUUUGUUUGUUUGUUUGUUUAACGUGUCCGAUUCAGACAUGCUUUUAGACAAAACACAGCCUCUCCAGGUCACUGGACUUCUGCUGCACGAGGUCUCUGCCUCUCUGUCCUCUUUCCCACCCCAGCCCUCAAGCAUUUGAAUGCACGGAGACUGGUCUGCAUGAGCCCUCCCUCGUUUUGGAAAAGCUGGGGCCCAUUCCAGGGAGGUGCGGGUCCCCCGUUCUCAAGUCUGGGCCGCGCAGGAAUUAAAGCCCCUGUGUUCUGAUUCACUGUGUGGUGACCUUUCCUCCACCCUCGGUCGCUGCCCGGGCAGAGGAGUGUCUAGGCAUGAGGGGGUGGAAAACCCUCCAAAUAGAACGUCUGCACAGAAAUGGACGGAGGCUGCACCGUGCUUCCCAGACCUUCUCCCUGCGUGAUGGCGUACCCAGCUCUCUGGCUGGGCGGUUUCCCUUCCCCGACAGCGCACCAGACUCUUCCCACUGGCCCGUGUGCGUGGGACUGUUGGGCCAGGCUGGGACGAUCACACCGUCCGCCUUUGACACCAGAGCCCUAGCAGGCUGGGGCCUCCAGCCCCCGUUAGACCACCUGGCCCCGUCUAACAAGGGAACAGAAACACCAGCUAGCUUCAGGUAAGUGCAUCCUUGCUCGAUGGACUUUUGCCAGAAAAGCCUGGUUCCCCUGGGAGGGCUGAGACCCGAGCAGACUCCUGUUCAGUGGGGUUGGGAGGGCAGAAGGUGUUGAUACUAGGAUUACUUACCCCCACCCCCACCCCCGCACGCCCCGCCUUUUCUUGUCUUACGGUGUUUAUGUUCAUGUGUUGUGAAUGAUUUCUCUCUUCCUCCAGAGAACUGAGUGUUGUAGACCUCGGUCUGGGGGCCCAGACCCCGGUUCAUGGCCCUCAGUUCCCUCAGUAACGGUUGCCACUCCCCCUCUGAACUCAGGGCCGAUGCUUCCUGGGUAGCGGGAGAGACUGUAAUGAAUCCCCCUGAUGACCACGUGACGUACGUGCGUCCUGAAGGACAAGAACUAGGUGCUGUGAGAGGGCGUAACCCAACACCUGGCUCACCUGGGGAAAGCUUCAGGCGACCUGCGUCACCUGGGAGAGGGUUGAUGGGGUGGUAGCCCUGGGAGAGUGGACGACAGAGAAUGUUCCAGAAAGAGGGAAUGGUGUACGCAGAGGCCUGCUAGGGGAGGAAGGAGGCUGUCUGGAUCACUGAAAGACACCUGUGUGACAAUACCUUGGGAAAGGUUUUGUGGAUACUGGCUGUCGGGGGUUACUAAGGAGGAAGAGUUCGGCUGGAGUAAAAAGCAAAAAAGCUGAGAAGUAGCAAAGGUAGAUCUCCAACCCCCUCGUUUUAUAGGACCCCACAGAAAUGACUCUCAUUUACCACUUACUUCCUGACCUUAAAACCCUGGAAGUUAACCUGUGUCGCGGGGCCCAGCUGUUGACUGCAGGUGCCCUGUGUCAGAGCCGCUGCCCAGCUCCUCCCUCAGUGGCUGGGGCCUCGCAGAGCCCCUGGGCUCGGAGCCCAGUGCUGGGGUCAGAAUCCAGAGUCCAGCACAGCCAUUGCUGGUGGUUCAUCUCCAACGCCUCCCCCAACCGCAGCUACGCUCUAGGAGAGCACAGAGGCUCCAGAGGGGCAGGAGGAGUGGGCGAGCCAGCUGGGGGCACCGGGCCCCUCACGGGACCAGCUGGGCUCCCAUCUCCACCAGGUUAAACGUGUUGUGCAGUCAGUCACAUCCACGGCCAUGCAGAAACCUUGCCUAGGACUCCCCCCACCCCACCCUUGCUCACAAUUGAGUUCAAGAACAGAAUGAGAUGAUAGACCAGCCGUGGAGCAGGUGCAGUGGACAGAGGGGCAGGAACACAGACUCUGGAGUUAGACUUGGGGUCUCUCUACCACGUAGUAGUCACGUGACUGUGGCGAGUCACCGAACUGCAUGAAGGAGCAAUUUCUCCUGCAGGCACGGGAAUACUAUUUGCUUCACAAGACCGACCCAAUUACAAAGCACACCUCAGUGUUCAAAUUUUAUUUCCUUCUCCUGCCUGCAGCGGCACAUGCUGUUAUUUCCGGGAGCCACAAUAAAUACAGGCCUGGAUCUGGAAGCCUUCAGAGCUGGUAGACAGCCCGAAAGAUCCAGAUUCUACUCUGUCUCCUCUUUCCUUAGUUGUGGCAUCCCGGGAGAUACAGACCUGUUUUCUCAGCUUCCGAUGACCAAAACAAAAGCAAACAAACAAACAAAAAACCCGACACAUUUAGGAGAUGGGAAAUCUAAUUUGAACACAGGAUGCAAAUCUUAUUUUCAGACACAUUUUUGAAAACAACACAAAACUCGGUCCUUGUGUUAGAGGAUUAUCUACUUAACACCGCUUCAGGACACGACAUUUGUGUGUGUGUGUCACAGCAGAGGUUAAACAAAGAUUGCUAAUGUUCUGACCCUUACUUGAGGCUGGGAAGGUGGACCCCAGGCUCUUCCUGAAUAGGGCGCAUCAGGAGUUGCCCCCGAGCAGGUGAAACUCACCUGGCUCGAACCUCCUAGGCAGAUAGGACGCUUGUUUCCUGAUGACGUGACAUAGUAUCAGAAGACACUGCGUGCUGUGAAAUGUUUUCGAGAGCAGGGGGCGAUGCUAAUGAAAACGUUAACGCAUUCUCAUAAUAGCUCUGGGAUACUUCCCUCCAUCGCAUGUGUAAUAAACUGUUAGGACUGGUUGUCCAGGGUCAACUAGGCUCCAUGAGUUUUGUAUUGCUACUGUCUGUGUGACGAGUCAGCCGCGACUUUCACAUUCCUUGAGCAUCCCUGGCUAGGUCCGCUCUGUGCCUCUCUCACGGACCGCGAUGUCCCGCCCCAAGUGGAACUGCAAGAAGACAGGGCAGCACCUGGGUCUUCCGGUUGUGUCUUCCUUCUUUCUUCAAUGAGAUCCUCUUCUUCUGGAAGCUGGUUUCACAUGGUGGCUUAGAUUUUUCCAUCUUUGUAUCUAGCACCAUUUGAAAUCAGUGUUUUAGGAGUAAGAAUUGCGGCGCAGCAAAGGGCCACCUGCAGAGGAGCUCUCGCUGGUGGGACAGAGCCCCUCCUUCUGCCGCCUGAGCCGGUCCAAGAGAGGAAGAACUUGAAAAGGAAAAGUGCGCCGCAGCGUAUGUCCGUUGCGGGCUGUGGAGGGGCGGCCGUGCGGGGAGGGUGUUUGUGUUUCAAAGAAACUCCGAGCUGGAGCAGGGGCCGAGGUGAUGCCUGGUUGUAGCACCUGGGAGCACCACCGGGCGCUCACCUGUCUGUAGGGCCUCUGACCGCGGGGACCAGGCGAUGCCGGCUCCUCCGUACUCGAUUGUAGCGGGGGAGGGGUGAGGCUGUGUGCCUGGAGGACGGUUCCAUCCCCAUCGGCGUUGCACCCGCUCCUAGAGGCCCCGGGACACCCAGCUGCACUUGCAGUGCGGCUGGAAUCAGACUUGCCACCUGCACGGUCAAGUGCCGGACCCCCGGGAGCACCACCGGACCCAUCUCUUACACAGGCUGACCGAUUUCUCCUGGUGUUCAGAGUCUGUUUUUGUCUAGCACCAUUUGAAAUCGGUUAUGAUGUAGGGGGAAAAGCAGCAGCCUCGAAACCUCACGCCAAGUCUGGUGAGCAACAGCCUCUGUUCUCCUGGAAGACGUGGUCUCCCGGAAGACGGAUGGGCAGAGCGUGGGGAAGGACGAUCACGCUUUUUUCACUAACUUCUUUCACUGCAUUAAUGAUACCUUAUUGCGGAGGUAAGAGAGAAUUGAAUGCAGUUUUAAAAACAAAUCGCUGUAACCUAUCUGAUGUCCUGGGGUGCAGUUUGCUAAAAUGUGGCAGUGCUGUGUAUUCUGUAAAUGGCUGCUGUUGAAUUCUCUUUCUGUUAAGAGUCUAUUCAUGCAUCUUGACCUGAAUAAAUAUUUUACUCUCUUCAA